rnacentral:rRNA from 1 species
AGAAAUCUCACCAGGCCCGGACACUGGAAGGAUUGACAGAUUGAUAGCUCUUCCUUGAUUCGGUGGGUGGUGUUGCAUGGCUGUUCUUAGUUGGUUGAGUGAUUUGUCUGGUUAAUUCCGUUAACGAACGAGACCUUAACCUGCUAAAUAGUGACGCGGUUCAUCGAACCGUGGGCCACUUCUUAGAGGGACUAUCGGAUUCAAACCGAUGGAAGUGUGAGGCAAUAA